rnacentral:rRNA from 1 species
GACGAACGCUGGCGGCGUGCUUAACACAUGCAAGUCGAACGGUGAAGCGCCUUCCUUUUUGGUGGGUGUGGAUGAGUGGCGAACGGGUGAGUAACACGUGAGUAACCUGCCCCCUUCUUCUGUAUAACCGCAUGAAAGUGUGGCUAAUACGGGAUAUUCUGGGUCUGUCGCAUGAUGGGUCUGGGAAAGAUAUUGUUUCGGUGGGGGAUGGGCUCGCGGCCUAUCAGCUUGUUGGUGGGGUGAUGGCCUACCAAGGCGGUGACGGGUAGCCGGCCUGAGAGGGUGGACGGUCACACUGGGACUGAGACACGGCCCAGACUACUACGGGAGGCAGCAGUGGGGAAUAUUGCACAAUGGGCGCAAGCCUGAUGCAGCGACGCCGCGUGAGGGAUGGAGGCCUUCGGGUUGUGAACCUCUUUCGCCAGUGAAGCAGGCCUGCCUCGUUUGUGGGUGGGUUGACGGUAGCUGGAUAAGAAGCGCCGGCUAACUACGUG